rnacentral:rRNA from 1 species
GAUGAACGCUGGCGGCGUGCCUAAUACAUGCAAGUCGAGCGAAUGGAUUAAGAGCUUGCUCUUAUGAAGUUAGCGGCGGACGGGUGAGUAACACGUGGGUAACCUGCCCAUAAGACUGGGAUAACUCCGGGAAACCGGGGCUAAUACCGGAUAACAUUUUGAACCGCAUGGUUCGAAAUUGAAAGGCGGCUUCGGCUGUCACUUAUGGAUGGACCCGCGUCGCAUUAGCUAGUUGGUGAGGUAACGGCUCACCAAGGCAACGAUGCGUAGCCGACCUGAUAGGGUGAUCGGCCACACUGGGACUGAGACACGGCCCGGACUCCUACGGGAGGCAGCAGUAGGGAAUCUUCCGCAAUGGACGAAAGUCUGACGGAGCAACGCCGCGUGAGUGAUGAAGGCUUUCGGGUCGUAAAACUCUGUUGUUAGGGAAGAACAAGUGCUAGUUGAAUAAGCUGGCACCUUGACGGUACCUAACCAGAAAGCCACGGCUAACUACGUGCCAGCAGCCGCCGUAA